GGGCCUGUAGCUCAGUUUGGUAGAGCACUUCAUUCGCACUGAAGGGGUCAGGGGUUCGACUCCCCUCAGGUCCA
rnacentral:tRNA from 1 species